rnacentral:rRNA from 1 species
AGAGUUUGAUCAUGGCUCAGAACGAACGCUGGCGGCAUGCCUAACACAUGCAAGUCGAACGCCAUCCUCUGGAUGGAGUGGCGCACGGGUGAGUAACGCGUGGGAACCUGCCUUUUUCUGCGGGACAACGGUUGGAAACGACCGCUAAUACCGCAUACGCCCUACGGGGGAAAGGUCCGCCGGAGAGAGAGGGGCCCGCGUUUGAUUAGCUUGUUGGUGGGGUAACGGCUCACCAAGGCGACGAUCAAUAGCUGGUCUGAGAGGAUGAUCAGCCACACUGGGACUGAGACACGGCCCAGACUCCUACGGGAGGCAGCAGUGGGGAAUAUUGGACAAUGGGGGCAACCCUGAUCCAGCAAUGCCGCGUGUGUGAUGAAGGCCUUAGGGUUGUAAAGCACUUUCACUGGCGAAGAUGAUGACGGUAACCAGAGAAGAAGCCCCGGCUAACUUCGUGCCAGCAGCCGCGGUAAUAC